rnacentral:rRNA from 1 species
CUGAUGAACGCCGGCGGUAACUAUAACCGUCCUAAGGUAGCGAAAUUCCUUGUCGGGUAAGUUCCGACCUGCACGAAUGGCAUAACGAGUUGACGACUGUCUCAACAAGGGACUCGGUGAAAUUGCAAGACCCGUGAAGAUGCGGGUUACCCACGGCUAGACGAAAAGACCCCGUGAAGCUUUACUACAACUUGGUAUUGAGCAUUAUAAGUGCUUGCUCAGCAUAGGUGGGACGCGCUAGAAGCCCUGACUCCGGUUGGGGCUGAGCGGAAAUAUGAGAUACCACCCUGGCGGUUUUAGUGUUCUAACCUCAUGCCGUUAUCCGGCUGAGGGACAGUAUCUGGCAGGUAGUUUGACUGGGGCGGUCGCCUCCUAAAAUGUAACGGAGGCGUUUACUAAGGUUGGCUAGCUCCCGAUGGAAACGGGAGUGAUAGGGCAAACCCACAAGCCAGCUUUACUGCAAGGGCUACAACCCGAGCAGUUGCGAAAGCAGAAGUUAGUGAUCCGACGAUCCAAUAUAGGAUGGUCGAAGCUCAACGGAUAAAAGUUACUCCGGGGAUAACAGGCUGAUCGGGUCCAAGAGUCCACAUCGACGACCCGGUUUGGCACCUUAACAUAUCGGGGUGCAUGAACAGUGAUGUUUUUCCCAAUCUUUUCGUUUAAUUAAAUAAUUUAGACAGGAAUCAAGAUCAAUAAUCGGCUUAUAACGGUGAACCCGUCAGUCCGCCCAGGGCGGACCCGGCAACACCGUGGGAAGUCAUCCGCCCAGGGCGGAUUGACCCCGUAACGACUGACCCGAAAGGGAAGAUCCGCCAUAGGGCGGAUAACACGCCGACUCUUGCAGUGAAAUCUGAGGUUAUGCGGUUCACGUUCGCCUAGGCGAAUCCGCUACGAUCCAGGGCAAGAAGAAGAUAUAGUCUGCGCCACAUGAAAGUGUGGAAUCAAGUACGAUGUCGGCUCAUCGCAUCCUGGGGCUGGAGAAGGUCCCAAUGGUUUGGCUGUUCGCCAAUUAAAGCGGUACGCGAGCUGGGUUCAGAACGUCGUGAGACAGUUCGGUCUCCUGUCUGUCGUGGGCGUGCGAAACUUGAGAAGGCUCUUCCCUAGUACGAGAGGACCGGGAAGAACGAACCUCUAGUGCACCAGUUGGUCUACCAAGGCCAUCGCUGGGUAGCUACGUUCGGCGCGGAUAAACGCUGAAAGCAUCUAAGCGUGAAGCCGUCUUCAAGAUUAGGUUUCGUUGAGGAACCAGAGAGAACAUCUGGUUGAUAGGUGGUAGGUGUAAGGCCCGUAAGGGUUUAAGCCGAGCCAUACUAAUCGUCCGAUGGUUUAACCA